rnacentral:rRNA from 1 species
AACGUACGCUGGCGGCACGCCUAACACAUGCAAGUCGAACGAAGUAGCAAUACUUAGUGGCAGACGGGUGAGUAACAUGUAGGUAUCUGCCCUUUGGCCUGGAAUAACACGAGGAAACUUGUGCUAAUACCGGAUAAGUCUUUACGGAGAAAGCUUUAUGCACCAUUGGAUGAGCCUGCACUUGAUUAGUUUGUUGGUGGGGUAAUGGCCUACCAAGACUGUGAUCAAUAGCUGAUUUGAGAGGAUGAUCAGCCACAUUGGGACUGAGACACGGCCCAAACUCCUACGGGAGGCAGCAGUGGGGAAUCUUGCACAAUGGAGGAAACUCUGAUGCAGCGAUGCCGCGUGAGUGAAGAAGGCCCUUGGGUUGUAAAGCUCUUUCGUCGGGGAAGAAAAUGACUGUACCCGAAUAAGAAGGUCCGGCUAACUUCGUGCCAGCAGCCGCGGUAAUACGAAGGGACCUAGCGUAGUUCGGAAUUACUGGGCUUAAAGAGUUCGUAGGUGGUUGAAAAAGUUAGUGGUGAAAUCCCAGAGCUUAACUCUGGAACUGCCAUUAAAACUUUUCAGCUAGAGUAUGAUAGAGGAAAGCAGAAUUUCUAGUGUAGAGGUGAAAUUCGUAGAUAUUAGAAAGAAUACCAAUUGCGAAGGCAGCUUUCUGGAUCAUAACUGA